AAGGUACUCCCUCCGUCCGAAAAUACUUGUGAUCAAAAUGGAUAAAAAAGGAUGUAUCUAGAACUAAAAUACAUCUAGAUACAUCCCCUUUUAUUCAUUUUGAUGACAAGUAUUUCCGGACGGAGGGAGUACUAU
rnacentral:pre_miRNA from 1 species